AACGAACGCUGGCGGCAGGCCUAACACAUGCAAGUCGAGCGCACCUUCGGGUGAGCGGCGGACGGGUUAGUAACACGUGGGAAUGUACCCUUCUCUGCGGAAUAGCCAUUGGAAACGAUGAGUAAUACCGCAUACGCCCUUCGGGGGAAAGAUUUAUCGGGGAAGGAUCAGCCCGCGGCUGAUUAGAUAGUUGGUGGGGUAAUGGCCUACCAAGUCUACGAUCAGUAGCUGGUUUUAGAGGACGAUCAGCAACACUGGGACUGAGACACGGCCCAGACUCCUACGGGAGGCAGCAGUGGGGAAUCUUAGACAAUGGGCGCAAGCCUGAUCUAGCCAUGCCGCGUGUGUGAUGAAGGUCUUAGGAUCGUAAAGCACUUUCGCCAGGGAUGAUAAUGACAGUACCUGGUAAAGAAACCCCGGCUAACUCCG
rnacentral:rRNA from 1 species